rnacentral:rRNA from 1 species
GUGGGGAAUAUUCCGCAAUGGACGAAAGUCUGACGGAGCAACGCCGCGUGAGUGAUGAAGGUUUUCGGACUGUAAAGCUCUGUUGUUUGGGACGAAAGUGCCUGUUGCGAACAGUUACGGGUAUUGACGGUACUAAACGAGGAAGCCACGGCUAACUACGUGCCAGCAGCCGCGGUAAUACGUAGGUGGCAAGCGUUGUCCGGAAUUAUUGGGCGUAAAGAGCAUGUAGGCGGGAAUCUAAGUCUGUUGUUAAAAUGCGGGGCUCAACCCCGUAUUGAGAUGGAAACUGGGUUUCUUGAGUGCAGGAGAGGAAAGGGGAAUUCCCAGUGUAGCGGUGAAAUGCGUAGAUAUUAGGAGGAACACCAGUGGCGAAGGCGGCUUGCUGGACGACAACUGACGCUGAGGCGCGAAAGCGUGGGGAGCAAACAGGAUUAGAUACCCUUGUAGUCC